AAUGAACGCUGGCGGCGCGCCUAAUACAUGCAAGUCGAGCGAGAAGACGUAGCAAUACGUUUGUAAAGCGGCGAACGGGUGAGGAAUACAUGGGUAACCUACCCUAGAGUGGGGAAUAACUAGCCGAAAGGUUAGCUAAUACCGCGUACGCUCCUUGGACUUCGGUUCAGGGAGGAAAGCGAUGCCGAGGGUAUCGCGCUCUUGGAUGGGCUCAUGUCCUAUCAGCUUGNGGUGAGGUAACGGCUCACCAAGGCUUCGACGGGUAGCUGGUCUGAGAGGACGAUCAGCCACACUGGCACUGCGACACGGGCCAGACUCCUACGGGAGCAGCAGUAAGGAUAUUGCGCAAUGGGCGAAAGCCUGACGCAGCGACGCCGCGUGGGGGA
rnacentral:rRNA from 1 species